rnacentral:pre_miRNA from 1 species
AUGUCAGCAGUGCCUUAGCAGCACGUAAAUAUUGGCGUUAAGAUUCUAAAAUUAUCUCCAGUAUUAACUGUGCUGCUGAAGUAAGGUUGGCCA